GACGAACGCUGGCGGCGUGCCUAAUACAUGCCAGUAGAACGCACAGUUUAUACCGUAGCUUGCUACACCAUAGACUGUGAGUUGCGAACGGGUGAGUAACGCGUAGGUAACCUGCCUGGUAGCGGGGGAUAACUAUUGGAAACGAUAGCUAAUACCGCAUAAUAUUGAUUAUUGCAUGAUAAUUGAUUGAAAGAUGCUAUUGCAUCACUACCAGAUGAACCUGCGUUGUAUUAGCUAGUAGGUGAGGUAACGGCUCACCUAGGCGACGAUACAUAGCCGACCUGAGAGGGUGAUCGGCCACACUGGGACUGAGACACGGCCCAGGCUCCUACGGGAGGCAGCAGUAGGGAAUCUUCGGCAAUGGACGAAAGUCUGACCGAGCAACGCCGCGUGAGUGAAGAAGGGUUUCGGAUCGUAAAGCUCUGUUGUAAGAGAAGAACGGGUGUGAGAGUGGAAAGUUCACACUGUGACGGUAUCUUACCAGAAAGGGACGGCUAACUACGUG
rnacentral:rRNA from 1 species